UACCCUGUAGAUCCGGGCUUUUGUGGCCUUUUCAGAAGCUCGUUUUUACAGGUAUCU
rnacentral:pre_miRNA from 1 species